UACGGGGGGGGCAAGCGUUGUUCGGAAUUACUGGGCGUAAAGGGCUCGUAGGCGGCCAACUAAGUCGGACGUGAAAUCCCUCGGCUUAACCGGGGAACUGCGUCCGAUACUGGAUGGCUUGAGUUCGGGAGAGGGAUGCGGAAUUCCAGGUGUAGCGGUGAAAUGCGUAGAGAUCAGGAAGAACACCAGUGGCGAAGGCGCUCUGCUAGGCCGUAACUGACACUGAGGGACGAAAGCUAGGGGAGCGAAUGGG
rnacentral:rRNA from 1 species